GUCGAACGGUAACAGGAGAGAGCUUGCUCUCUUGCUGACGAGUGGCGGACGGGUGAGUAAUACAUGGGAAUCUGCCCUGAGGUGGGGGAUAACCCGGGGAAACUCGGGCUAAUACCGCAUGAUCUCUUCGGAGCAAAGUGGGGGACCUUCGGGCCUCACGCCUUGGGAUGAGCCCAUGUCUGAUUAGCUAGUUGGUGGGGUAAAGGCCUACCAAGGCAACGAUCAGUAGCCGGCCUGAGAGGGUGUACGGCCACACUGGGACUGAGACACGGCCCAGACUCCUACGGGAGGCAGCAGUGGGGAAUAUUGGACAAUGGGGGCAACCCUGAUCCAGCAAUGCCGCGUGUGUGAAGAAGGCCUGCGGGUUGUAAAGCACUUUUAUCGGGGAAGAAUAGGUUGUCGUUAAUAGCGCCAACACUUGACAUUACCCGUUGAAUAANCACCGGCUAACUCCGUGCCNNCAGCCGCGGUAAUACNAGGGUGCGAGCGUUAAUCGGAAUUACUGGGGCGUAAAGGGGUGCGUAGGCGGAANCUUAAGUCUGAUGUGAAANCCCCGGGCUUACCUGGGAAUGGCAUUGGAAAACUGGGUUUCUAGAGUGUGGUNANGAUAGUGNAAUUUCCAGUGUACCGGUGAAAUGCNUA
rnacentral:rRNA from 1 species